rnacentral:rRNA from 1 species
GAUGAACGCUAGCGGCAGGCUUAACACAUGCAAGUCGAAGGGCAGCGGGGAGAGUGCUUGCACUCUCCGCCGGCGACUGGCGCACGGGUGAGUAACACGUAUGCAACCUGCCCUCCACAGGGGGACAACCUCCCGAAAGGGAGGCUAAUCCCGCGUAAAUCGGGAGACCGCAUGGUCUCCUGAGGAAAGCUCCGGCGGUGGAGGAUGGGCAUGCGGCGCAUUAGCUAGUCGGUGGGGUAACGGCCCACCGAGGCGACGAUGCGUAGGGGUUCUGAGAGGAAGGUCCCCCACACUGGUACUGAGACACGGACCAGACUCCUACGGGAGGCAGCAGUGAGGAAUAUUGGUCAAUGGCCGAAGGGCUGAACCAGCCAAGCCGCGUGAAGGAAUAAGGCCCUACGGGUCGUAAACUUCUUUAGUCAGGGAACAAAGGGUGCCACGUGUGGCGCUGUGAGUGUACCUGAAGAAUAAGCAUCGGCUAACUCCGUGCCAGCAGCCGCGGUAAUACGGAGGAUGCGAGCGUUAUCCGGAUUUAUUGGGUUUAAAGGGUGCGUAGGCGGUUUGUCAAGUCAGCGGUAAAAAUUCCGGGCUCAACCCGGUCCCGCCGUUGAAACUGGCGAACUCGAGAGGGAGAGAAGUAGGCGGAAUGCGCAGUGUAGCGGUGAAAUGCAUAGAUAUUGCGCAGAACUCCGAUUGCGAAGGCAGCCUACCGGCUCCUAUCUGACGCUGAGGCACGAAAGCGUGGGUAUCGAACAGGAUUAGAUACCCUGGUAGUCCACGCAGUAAACGAUGAAUGCCGGCUGCCCGGGCCGAUUGAGGCCUGGGUGGCGAAGCGAAAGCGAUAAGCAUUCCACCUGGGGAGUACGCCGGCAACGGUGAAACUCAAAGGAAUUGACGGGGGCCCGCACAAGCGGAGGAACAUGUGGUUUAAUUCGAUGAUACGCGAGGAACCUUACCCGGGCUCAAACGGCGGAUGACAGGCGCAGAGACGCGCAUUUCUUCGGACAUCCGCCGAGGUGCUGCAUGGUUGUCGUCAGCUCGUGCCGUGAGGUGUCGGCUUAAGUGCCAUAACGAGCGCAACCCCUGCCGACAGUUGCUAACAGGUUAUGCUGAGGACUCUGUCGGGACUGCCGGCGCAAGCCGUGAGGAAGGCGGGGAUGACGUCAAAUCAGCACGGCCCUUACGUCCGGGGCGACACACGUGUUACAAUGGGUGGCACAGAGGGAAGCCAGGCGGCGACGCCGAGCGGAACCCGAAAUCCACUCUCAGUUCGGAUCGGAGUCUGCAACCCGACUCCGUGAAGCUGGAUUCGCUAGUAAUCGCGCAUCAGCCAUGGCGCGGUGAAUACGUUCCCGGGCCUUGUACACACCGCCCGUCAAGCCAUGGGAGCCGAGGGCGCUUGAAGUGCGUCGCCGCGAGGCGCGCCCUAGAGCGAAAUCGGUGACUGGGGCUAAGUCGUAACAAGGUAGCCGUACCGGAAGGUGCGGCUGGAACACCUCCUUUCUGGAGCAGUUCCCUUACAGCUGCUGUCGUCUUGUGCAAAACCAUAGGGAAACGAAGACUUGCGUCUCCGUUUCUCACUCAAAAGAGAACAUUGACAAGACUGGAAGCGAGUGAAUAGCGAUAUUCACAGCGAGAACGAGUAGAAACACAAACGAGUUUCACAAAACGAGCAAACCAAAGGCGAACUAAGUCGAACUUAGAGUUCGGUUAAAGAAUUAACGGAACGAGAAGGGCGCAUGGGGGAUGCCUAGGCUCUCGGAGGCGAAGAAGGACGUGACAAGCUGCGAAAAGCUGCGGCGAGGGGCAAAUACCCAUUGAUCCGCAGAUGUCCGAAUGGGGCAACCCGGCGGGAGCGAUCCCGUCACCGCGGGGUUCCGCGGGGCGAACGCGGGGAACUGAAACAUCUUAGUACCCGCAGGAAGAGAAAGUAACAACGAUUCCCCCAGUAGCGGCGAGCGAACGGGGAAGAGCCCAAACCGGCGGUGUCGCGAGGCAUGUGCCGGGGUUAUAGGACCGACAAUGAAGCGAGGAGGUUAUCGAGUGGAAGCGGAUGGAACGCCGCGCCAUAGAGGGUGAGAGCCCCGUACACGAAGAGAAGACCUUGCGAGUCGGCACCUGAGUAUGCCGGAACACGAGAAAUUCCGGUUGAAUUAUCGGGGACCAUCCCGAAAGGCUAAAUACUACCGAGAGACCGAUAGCGAACG